rnacentral:rRNA from 1 species
UACAGAGGUCUCGAGCGUUUGUUCGGAUUCAUUGGGCGUAAAGGGUGCGUAGGUGGCGCCGUAAGUCGGGUGUGAAAUUUCGGAGCUUAACUCCGAAACUGCAUUCGAUACUGCGGUGCUUGAGGACUGGAGAGGAGACUGGAAUUCAUGGUGUAGCAGUGAAAUGCGUAGAGAUCAUGAGGAAGACCAGUGGCGAAGGCGGGUCUCUGGACAGUUCCUGACACUGAGGCACGAAGGCCAGGGGAGCAAACGGG